UACGUAGGGUGCGAGCGUUGUCCGGAAUUAUUGGGCGUAAAGCGCUCGUAGGCGGUUUGUCGCGUCUGCCGUGAAAGUCCGGGGCUCAACUCCGGAUCUGCGGUGGGUACGGGCAGACUAGAGUGAUGUAGGGGAGACUGGAAUUCCUGGUGUAGCGGUGAAAUGCGCAGAUAUCCGGAGGAACACCGAUGGCGAAGGCAGGUCUCUGGGCAUUAACUGACGCUGAGGAGCGAAAGCAUGGGGAGCGAACAGG
rnacentral:rRNA from 1 species